rnacentral:rRNA from 1 species
CCUAAGAAAUGCAAGUCGGACGGGUGGCGCUUCGGUGUCACCAGUGGCGAACGGUCGCGUAACACGUAAGCAACCUGCCCUAAGGUGGGGGAUAACGGCCCGAAAGGGCCGCUAACAGACGCAUGGGGUCCGUGGGGGGCAUCCCCCUCGGUCUAAAGAUUCAUCGCCUUAGGAUGGGCUUGCGGCCUAUCAGGUAGUCGGUGGGGUGACGGCCUACCGAGCCUUUGACGGGUAGCUGGUCUGAGAGGACGAUCAGCCGGAUUGGGACUGAGACAGAGAGCUAGACUCCUACGGGGGGCAGCAAUUAGGAAUCUUGCGCAAUGGGGGCAACCCUGACGCAGCGACGCCGCGUGCGGGACGAAGGACGGGCGUGUCGUAAACCGCUUUUUUGGGGGAAGAAGGAUGUGACGGUACCCCAAGAAUAAGCCCCGGCUAACUACGUGCCAGCAGCCGCGGUAACAGAGUAGGGGGCGAGCGUUGUCCGAAGUUACUGGGCGUAAAGCGCGCGUAGGCGGUCCCUUAAGUCCGGGGUGAAAGGUUCAGCGCUCAACGCGAACAGGGCCUUGGAGACUGGGGGACUCGAGUGUGGGAGGGGGCAGUGGAAUUCCGGGUGUAGCGGUGAAAUGCGUAGAUAUCCGGAGGAACACCGAUGGCGAAGGCAGCUGCCUGGUCUGACACUGUCGCUGAGGUGCGAAAGCGUGGGGAGCGAACGGGAUUAGACA